ensembl:snoRNA small nucleolar RNA ACA64
ACAGUCUGAAAAUUACCUUGGAUGAGUCAGUUGUCUUUGGUAAGAUAACUGUGCCAACAGGAAGCUGGUACAAACUUCUCCGACACUUGUGUAGUGGAGUGUUGAAAGCCGCGUACCUACAGUU